rnacentral:rRNA from 1 species
UACGAAGGGAGCUAGCGUUGUCCGGAUUUAUUGGGUUUAAAGGGUGCGUAGGCGGUCUUUUAAGUCAGCGGUGAAAUCCUCCAGCUUAACUGGAGAACUGCCAUUGAUACUGGAAGACUUGAGUACAGACAAGGUAGGCGGAAUUGACAGUGUAGCGGUGAAAUGCAUAGAUAUUGUCAAGAACACCGAUUGCGAAGGCAGCUUACUAGACUGUAACUGACGCUGAGGCACGAAAGUGUGGGGAUCAAACAGG